rnacentral:lncRNA from 1 species
GGAAAGGCUUCAUGUUCCAGGUGAGAGGCAUUGUAGAAUACCAGAUGGAGAAUUAGAAGACCCAAUUUGAAUUCCCUCAAUCACUAACUAACUGUGAUUCUGGGGAAUUAUAGGGCUCAGUAUACUCAUAUGUCAAUGGGAUCAAUAGUACACAGCUGUCUUUAGGGUCAAGAGUAUUAAUGUAUCUGAAGCAGGGUACUUUCUGCAAUUCAGGCUAGUUCUAUGAGAAAUAGGGAUAAAGGACAGAAGAGAGAGAGAGAUCCUGGGCAAACUCCAGGCAGAGGUGCACACAGCCUGCUCACAGACAGGCCUCUCACAUUCCAGCUUCCACAUAUGCACAGAAAGCUGUGAGCUCUAUUCUACACAUCUGCGUAGAUAGUAACUGCCAAGAUAAUUGGUUUUAAAGUCUGUUCCUUAUCUUUUCCCCUGGCAUGCAGGAGCUGUGUGCCUAUGCACACAGAAGAGCAGUGGACAGAGAUAGCAAGACACCACCAUGGUCCGGGAUCAGCUGCUGGCCAAAAUGAGGGGCUACUUUCGGAUCCACAGCCUCCUGGCCCGACAGUGCUUGGCAGAGUUUCUGGGUGUAUUUGUGCUCAUGGUAGGCAGUAACUGUGGGGAAGAAAGGAGGGAGGUAGACCAAUAUUUCUGGCUCUUCCUAUACUUCCUUUUAACUCUCAAUCUCUUCUCUUUCCCUCUUGUUUCUCCUCUUCCUUCUUCUCCUUCUCCUUAUUUUUAAAUUUUUGUUGUUUUAUACUAGGGAUUGAACCAGGGCACUUUACUGCUUACCUACAGAGUUUCUGAUAACUUUCUGAGGGCUCACCAAGUUGCUGAGGCUGGCUUCAAACUUGCAAUCCUCUUGCCUCAACCUCCCAAGUCAUUAGAACUAUAGGCACGCUCAAGGACACUCAGCUUGCUUCUUCUAUUAGAUGCCUUCUCUCCCUUUUUCCUUCUCCUCCACUUCUUCCAUUUCUUUAUCUCUUUCCUGUUUCUGCUUUUCUCCUUUCCCUGCUGGUCCCUUGGUUGCUCCCAAUCUCUCUCCUGUUGGUCUCCUGGACUUCCUUUUCCUCACCUUUCUCUCCCUGUCAGCUUCUCACUCAGGGGGCUGUGGCCCAGGCUGUCACCAGUGGAGAAACCAAAGGGAACUUCUUCACCAUGUUUCUGGCUGGUUCUCUGGCAGUUACAAUAGCCAUCUACGUGGCAGGCAAUGUCUCAGGUGAGCAGGGUGGGGUCUGGUCAUCGGAAGGGGUGGGACGUGUAUGUGGCAGUGGGUGUCUGCAAUGGUAAAAAGGCAGGUCCUUUGGUGACUCAUGAAUAUUAUCUUCUAAGCUUGACCAGUGCCCUAGACUGAGAUAUGUCUUCAGCCUUACCCAGUCCCUCCCCUUCCUAUCUCUCUCCAUUCCCCUUCCUCACACUAAUGGAUCAGUUGGCUUACCUUGGCAGAAAUCUAUGCCAGGGCAAUGACGGUAAGUACUGUUCUCUGACGCCUCACACCUGAAGCUCUCUGGUGUCAACUCCACUCAGGACCUUGCGCUUGUCCCUCAGAUACACGCUGCAUCAGUGUGCUGAAGUGGAAAGGGCAGAGAGAUGCAGGUUCAAAUCUUGGCUUCAUUGUGUGACCUUGAGGAGUCACUUAAACUCUUUGAGCCUUAAUUCCUUAAGAUGAAGCAUGAAGAUCAUGAGCUCAAAGCCAGCCUCAGCAAAAGUGAGGCCCUAAGCAAUGAGACCCCAUCUCUAAAUAAAAUACAAAAAAUAGGUUUGGGGAAGUGGCUCAGUGGUCAAGUGCCCCUGAGUUCAAUCCCUGAUACCAAAAAAAAAAAAAAAAAAAAGAAAAAAAUAUAUAUACACACCCAUAUAUGAUGAAAAUGAUACAAUUUAUCCUAAGAGUUGUAGGAAGGAGAGGCCUUGUUGCUGGUGACAGUGUUUGGAUGCUCAUUUUCUUCCUCUGUCCCUGAAGGAGCUCACCUGAAUCCAGCCUACUCCCUAGCCAUGUGCCUCCUGGGACGCUUCCCCUGGUCCAAGCUCCCCAUCUACUGCUUCGUGCAGCUGCUGUCUGCCUUCUGUGCCUCUGGAGCCACCUAUGUUCUCUACUAUGGUAACAGAGGGGACAGUGUUGGAGCACCUGUAUGUGCGGAGGGGUGCCUCAGGGCAGUUUGCCGUAAGUAAAGAUGGCAACCCUGGGUUUUCCUCUCUCCCAAAGAUGCUCUACAGAACUAUACAGGGGGGAACCUGACAGUGACUGGCCCCAAGGAGACUGCCUCCAUCUUUGCCACCUAUCCUGCCCCUUAUUUGUCCCUGAACAAUGGCUUCCUGGAUCAGGUAGGUGAGAGGAGCAGAACUGGAAAAGUUUAACCUUUUCCCUUCACUUGGGACCCCAGCCAAUUGUUCUGGGUGGAAUAUGGAGCUAGUUCUACUUUGGUACCCCACCAGCCCCCAGCUGCUUGUGUUGAACAAAGCGAGGUGACAUGGGGGUCAUAGUUUGGAGUGUUUGGGUGAGGGCAAAUGGAGCACCUGGCAACUAAUGACCAGGACCCCUCUGUCUGAAGGUUUUGGGCACUGGGAUCCUGAUUGUGGGGCUCUUGGCCAUCCUGGACGGACGCAACAAGGGAGUACCUGUGGGUCUGGAGCCCGUGGUGGUGGGGCUGCUGAUCCUAGUCAUCGGACUAUCCAUGGGUGUCAACUGUGGGUUCCCACUCAACCCUGCCAGAGAUCUGGGUCCACGGCUCUUCACCUACUUGGCUGGCUGGGGCCCUGAAGUCUUCAGGUGGGAGACAUCUUCCCUGGAUGCGGUCCUUAACUCACCUCUCUCUGCUAAUGGCUCUGUCCCUGGGUCCCUAGCUUUCUCCUCUUAAAUAGUUCUCUUGCCCUCUUAGGACAGCGUUCCUCACUCUCCCCUGUCCUUUCACUGAAACAGUUAAGAUUUAGAGGUUGUAUUCUGGGGAACGUCAUAUUAUUUCUUUGGGCAUUAGUGACCUACCUCAUCAGCAAAUGGGUAUAUUCAGAUAAUUCCCUAAGGCUAGAGGCUGGACUAAGUUCUUCUGGUGGUCUCUCCUCUCUCUUCUCGUGUCUUUCACUCCAGGAACUACUUUAGGGAGCUCCCUUGGUUACUGGCGCAGUCCUUGAGGAGAGGGGAGACUAAGGGAACCAUUCCUCAUGCGUCUCUUUUGUCCUUCUCUUGCAGUGCUGGCAAUGGCUGGUGGUGGGUGCCUGUGGUGGCCCCUUUGGUGGGGGCUACCCUUGGCACAGCCACAUACCAGCUGCUGGUGGCUCUGCACCACCCUGAAGACUCAGAGCAAGGUCAGAAAAAAGCCUCAGACUUGGAAACUCCUGCCUCGGUUCAGAUGCCCAGCCUCAAGGCCUCUAGGAACGCAGUUGCUAAAAGUAGCCACGAGGGGGUGUCCACGCUGGACGCUGGCUUGGGAGGGCUGCGGGAGUCUGCGGGGUGGAGGGCCGACGGGGGAACUUUCCUCUAGUCGGGGCCUGGCGGGGAACUUGCCUCCAAACCUGGGUCCCCUCUGCCCGACUUCCAGCUCUUGUAAGCCCAGCGUCGCGCGCCUUUGCCCCACAGGGGCGCUUCGCGGACGGUCAUUAGCGGCGGGGAAGCCGCUCCAUCCAGGGGGCGUGGUGGGGCGGCGGAGCACGGACCGUCCCUCGCCUGGUAGGCAGGGAGAGAAAGGCGAGAGACGAGGCACGACCUCUUCCAGGCUAACCCGAGGCUGUGUCGUUCUCGGAGAGCGAAAUGCCACGGGAGGAGCCCGGGCGAGGAGCCUGAGGCGGCCGGCUGCGGGGUGUGAGUCGGGGCCACGGGGAAGCUGGCGGCGAGGAGGAUUCGAGCUCGCCGCUUCUCCCGCCCUCUCGUCCCUCCGGGCCGAAGAUGCGCUUUUUGCAAAGAAGGCAGCAUUUCUCAUUCGCUUUCUUACGAAUUAAAAGGAAAAACCUCGCUACCUGGCUUCCCGGGUU